rnacentral:snRNA from 1 species
AUACUUACCUGGUGCCGGGGCCUCGUUGAUCGCUGAGGACGAGCCCCCAUGGCGAGGGGCGGGCAUUGCACGGCACUCGUGUUGACCCCUGCCACUACUUCAAACUGGGGAAGAUGGGGAAUGCAAAUUGUUUAAAUUCGAU